rnacentral:rRNA from 1 species
CUAGCCCUAAACACAGAUAAUUAUAUAAACAAAAUUAUUCGCCAGAGUACUACUAGCAAUAGCUUAAAACUCAAAGGACUUGGCGGUGCUUCAUAUCCCUCUAGAGGAGCCUGUUCUAUAAUCGAUAAACCCCGAUAAACCUCACCAAUUCUUGCUAAUACAGUCUAUAUACCGCCAUCUUCAGCAAACCCUAAAAAGGAAUAAAAGUAAGCGUAAUCAUAGCACAUAAAAAAGUUAGGUCAAGGUGUAACCUAUGAAAUGGAAAGAAAUGGGGUACAUUUUCUUAAACCAAGAAAACCAAUACACGAAAGCUAUUAUGAAAUUAAUAGCCAAAGGAGGAUUUAGCAGUAAACUAAGAAUAGAGUGCUUAGUUGAACCAGGCCAUGAAGCACGC